GAUGGCAACUGCCACCCCUAGAAGAUGCCUUGCCACCCCUCCUGCCAUCCCAGUUCUGAACGAUCUAAUUCAAAAAUAUGUAUAUGAAAGGUUGUGGCCGGCCGUAAAGAGCGAAAGUCCAGGAAAGACGAAUAACGAGUGAAACUCCGAUGUCCGAGUGCUUUCGAACGCACCAUGCAGACGUCACGUCCUGAACAGUCUAUGCCGCUACAGAUACGAGGUGACACGCCCCCCUGAGGGACCUCACUCAUGUGGAUGACAGCUGGACUUCGGUGUGGCGGAGACAGUAAAGAAUGAAGAGGAAGGGAACCACCAGCAGCUUUUCCCAGCCUAAAAGAAGAGAGGAGGAAGAACAUCCCAGAGAGGAGAUGGAGGAGGAAGAGUUCAGAGAAAGAUAUGAAGGCAUGCAGAGCUCAGACAGAGAAAGGAGAGCAGCUUCCUCCCUGGAACAUGGAAAUGAAGCGUCGGCGACAAAAACGUGAAACAGAACGACAAAAGAUCAGCCAGGAGUUUGGAGGAGUCGGGUCCCAUUGAGAUGUGAUGGUCGGAGCUUCAACACUGACGUCUCAGUCUCUGAAGGAUUUAAAGCACUGACAGUCAAGAAGCCAUUACAGCUCACUGAGAGGACGACCAGCAAAUUGGUUAGCUCGCAGCAGCAGUAAAUAAGAUGGAGGGGACCCAUGUUUUCCACCUUGUCAAUAACUGGCCUUAGUGCGGCAAAGGCGUCUUCAGUCGGAAUUUAAAGUCGGUGGCGAGUCAGGAGCAGAGGAAAGAAGAAGCUGAAGAGAGACUUCAGGUUGGAGAGAGCACAAAGAGAAUGUUUGAUCUGAGGUGGCAGCUGGAAGUUAUAUUCCAGACAUGAACUCAUGAGGAGAAUCCACUCAGAAGCUCAAUCAGACUAAAUGGUUCUCAUGCGCGAGUGUUGUCUUCACGGAGAAUAUUAAAUCAAUUCUAAAAAUACAAGCUUUGACCUUUAAGAGAAGCUAAAAACUCCAAAUCCGACCCAGACUAUUUGUCUUAUUUUUAGUCAAAAUGUCUCAUCCCACUUGAUUUAAGAUAAAUUCGCUUAACAAGAGACAUUUAAGCAGAUGGAGGGACUUGUUUUAAGACAAUGCAUCUUAAAUAUCUUGUUAAGUCAAACAAUCUUGAAAUGAUCUUGUUUUGAGUUGAAUUUUACAAGAAAACUCAAAAUAAGUUUAACCCUCGUGUCGUCCUGUGGGUCAAAUUGACCUGUUUUAAAGUUUGAAAAUGUGGAAAAAAAUAUAUUUUCACAGUGAAACUUCUGAUGUCCACAUUUUCAACAUUUUUGGAAAAUUUUUGAACAUUUUUUGGUGGAAAACAAGAAAUGUUAAAAAUGUUUCUUAAGAACAUUCACAUAAAAAUCAACAAAAAUCCAGUUAAUUUUGCUGGACUUUGGUUGAUUUUUUGUGAAUGUUCUUAAGAAAAUAUUAGAAGUUUU